CCUACGGGUGGCAGCAGUAGGGAAUAUUGCUCAAUGGGGGAAACCCUGAAGCAGCAACGCCGCGUGGAGGAUGAAGGUUUUCGGAUUGUAAACUCCUUUUGUUAGAGAAGAUAAUGACGGUAUCUAACGAAUAAGCACCGGCUAACUCCGUGCCAGCAGCCGCGGUAAUACGGAGGGUGAAAGCGUUACUCGGAAUCACUGGGCGUAAAGAGCGCGUAGGCGGGAUAGCAAGUCAGAUGGGAAAUCCUAGGGCUUAACCAUAGAACUGCAUUUGAAACUGGUAUUCUAGAGUAUGGGAGAGGUAGGUGGAAUUCUUGGUGUAGGGGUAAAAUCCGUAGAGAUCAAGAGGAAUACUCAUUGCGAAGGCGACCUGCUAGAACAUAACUGACGCUGAUGCGCGAAAGCGUGGGGAGCAAACAGGAUUAGAUACCCCAGUAGUC
rnacentral:rRNA from 1 species